GAUUAUUUAGUUUAGUGAAAAAUUUUAGUUUGUGGAACUAAAGAGUUUAAUAGUCA
rnacentral:tRNA from 1 species